GCCCCCCAGCAUGCGGCAGGUCUUGCCGGGGCCGCACUCCACGCCUUCGCACGAAUCUGUGGACACAAGGACGCACGCGUGGGCUGCAGCGCGCGGCGGAGGCCCGAGACGGGGGAAACUGAGGCCUCGUCACAGCUAAGUAGAGGAGAGCGAGCCAGGGCACCUCAGCGUGAGAACUCCAGUCCAGACCCUGUGCACCCCCAGUUCUGUGGCUGGUGGAUCUGGAGGGCCUACCCUGAGCUCGAGUUCACAUUUCGGCCUCAGUUUCUGGGUGUGUAAAGUGGGGCUGAUGGGGGAAACCCACCUUACAGGGCGAGCAUAAGAUGACAGAUGCUCCUAAGAGACUAGCCCACACCCCUCAUGUCCCUCUGCCAGGGCAUGUGGGCCGCACCUGGGCGCCUCCCACGCUGCCCGCCCACACGCACAUCUGGAAACGCUCCCCCGGGCGGCUUCACGCAAGCGGGAACGGAAGUGGCAGGGCUAAGUUCCUGUCCCCAAGGCCAGAUGAGGUGGGGGGGAGGGUGUCCUGGGCCAUCUUAUGCCCAGUCCAGGCAUUUUCUGAAGUCUGUCCUCCCAGAAGCCAUAACGGCUUCUGGAGGGAGCCAAGGCACAUGGCAGUUGAGUUCAGGACCACCCAGCCAGGCUGAUCUGGGAUUAAUCACAAAGCCCUCAGCUCUAGCCUCCUUCCUGUUCCCCUUUCCUGACCCCACCCACCAGGGUCCAGUCCCAGGCCAUGAUCUCUGCUGAUGCUCUCCCCCAUACUAUCCCCAGCUGGCAAACUCCUAAUUGUACCCCAACACCCCGGCUCUAAAGCCCACCUCCUUCAAGUCAUUCCCACAUGUUCCCGGUGGGUCCUUGCAGGUUCAGCCUUGCACAGGAGGCUAGGAGAGUUCCCAUCCCUUCUCCGGGGUGGAGAAUAUGUCUUGACUUAGUCAUUUAUUCAUUCUGCCUUCAGAGAGCUCCUAGUCUGAUGGAGGACGCAGCAUUUCACAGAAGGCACAUGUUUGCUAAACUGCAGCUGCGGCCCUACCUUGCGGACCCCAGAAUCUGAGGCAUGAAGGGCAGGCAGGCAGUGGACGAGCCCCAGGAAACCCAGGAGGCUGAUCUUGUUCUCCGGGUGGGUGAAGUUGGACCAGGCAGUGUCAAUGUUGCCAGAGGCACAGCACUCAGCUCGGCUCACGUCGGUUUUCAGCACCAG